rnacentral:tRNA from 1 species
CGCCCAUAGUUCAGUGGAUAGAAUGUUUGACUUCGGAUCAAAAGGGGUUAAAAUCUUU